rnacentral:tRNA from 1 species
GCUGAGAUGGCAGAGCCCGGCAAUUGCAAAAGACCUAAGACCUUUACCCCAGAGGUUCAAUUCCUCUUCUCAGCU